rnacentral:rRNA from 1 species
UACGUAGGGGGCAAGCGUUGUCCGGAUUUAUUGGGCGUAAAGAGCUCGUAGGUGGUUCGGUAAGUCGGAUGUGAAAUCUCCAGGCUCAACCUGGAGGGGUCAUUCGAUACUGCCGUGACUAGAGGUCGGUAGGGGCAGAGGGAAUUUCCGGUGGAGCGGUGAAAUGCGUAGAGAUCGGAAAAGAACACCAACGGCGAAAGCACUCUGCUGGGCCGACACUGACACUGAGAGACGAAAGCUAGGGGAGCGAAUGGG